GAUGAACGCUGGCGGCGUGCCUAAUACAUGCAAGUCGAGCGAACAGACGAGGAGCUUGCUCCUUUGACGUUAGCGGCGGACGGGUGAGUAACACGUAGGUAACCUACCUAUAAGACUGGGAUAACUUCGGGAAACCGGAGCUAAUACCGGAUAAUAUUUCGAACCGCAUGGUUCGAUAGUGAAAGAUGGCUUUGCUAUCACUUAUAGAUGGACCUGCGCCGUAUUAGCUAGUUGGUAAGGUAACGGCUUACCAAGGCGACGAUACGUAGCCGACCUGAGAGGGUGAUCGGCCACACUGGAACUGAGACACGGUCCAGACUCCUACGGGAGGCAGCAGUAGGGAAUCUUCCGCAAUGGGCGAAAGCCUGACGGAGCAACGCCGCGUGAGUGAUGAAGGUCUUCGGAUCGUAAAACUCUGUUAUUAGGGAAGAACAAACGUGUAAGUAACUGUGCACGUCUUGACGGUACCUAAUCAGAAAGCCACGGCUAACUACGUG
rnacentral:rRNA from 1 species